rnacentral:misc_RNA from 1 species
CCAAACUUGGUCAUUUAGAGGAAGUAAAAGUCGUAACAAGGUCUCCGUAGGUGAACCUGCGGAGGGAUCAUUACCGAGCGAGGGCUCCGGCCCGACCUCCAACCCUUUGUUGACCUAUAUAUUGUAUAUCACGCAUAUACACUUAUAAUCACCUGUUGCCUCGGGGGUGACCCGGCCUCGGCGUCGGCGUCGCCCCCGGUGGACCAUUCCAACUCUGUAUCUUUACGUCGGAGUUUGUUGCAAAUCAAUCAAAACUUUCAACAACGGAUCUCUUGGUUCUGGCAUCGAUGAAGAACGCAGC